CGGCGUGGAUUAGGCAUGCCACGGUGAAUACGUUCCCAGGCCUUGUACACACCGCCCGUCACACCAUGGGAGUUGGAUUCACCCGAAGGCGUUGCGCUAACUCGCAAGAGAGGCAGGCGACCACGGUGGGUUUAGCGACUGGGGUGAAGUCGUAACAAGGUAGCCGUA
rnacentral:rRNA from 1 species